rnacentral:rRNA from 1 species
UGUCUUUUUGAGAAUAAUAUAAGGUCUAAUCUGCCCACUGAUUUAAUUGAAGGGCUGCAGUAUAUUGACUGUACAAAGGUAGCAUAAUCAUUAGUCAUUUAAUUGAUGACUUGUAUGAAGGAUUGGAUGAAAUAUAAACUGUCUCUUUAUUAAUAAUAGAAUUUAAUUUUUUAAUUAAAAAGUUAAAAUAUUUUAAAAAGACGAGAAGACCCUAUAGAGUUUUAUAAAUAAAAUAAUUAAGAUUAUUUAAUUUAAUAAAAUUAAGAUUAUAUUAUUUAUUUUGUUGGGGUGACAGAAAAAUAUAUUUAACUUUUUUUUUUAUUUAAAACAUUUAUAAGUGGUUAAAUGAUCCAAUAUUAUUGAUUAUAAGAAAAAAUUACCUUAGGGAUAACAGCGUAAUUUUUUUUUUUAGUUCAAAUAAGAAAAAGAGUUUGCGACCUCGAUGUUGGAUUAAGAUAAAAUUUAAAUGCAGAAG